GAUGAACGCUGACAGAAUGCUUAACACAUGCAAGUCGAUGGGGAAGCGGCGCUUGCGCCGUGGCAACCAUGGCGGACGGGUGAGUAACGCGUAAAGAACUUGCCGGAUGGACCGGGAUAACAGCUGGAAACGGCUGGCAAGACCGGAUACUAUGGGCUGGCCGCAUGGCGGGCCCAUGAAAAGGGAUGCCGUCCGAGAGCUUUGCGUCCUAUUAGCUGGUUGGUAAGGUGACGGCUUACCAAGGCGAUGAUAGGUAGCCGGCCUGAGAGGGUGGACGGCCACAAGGGGACUGAGAUACGGCCCUUACUCCUACGGGAGGCAGCAGUGGGGAAUAUUGGACAAUGGGGGCAACCCUGAUCCAGCAAUUCUGUGUGCACGAAGAAGGUUUUCGGAUCGUAAAGUGCUUUCAGCAGGGAGGAAGGAAGGACUGUACCGCAGAAG
rnacentral:rRNA from 1 species